rnacentral:piRNA from 1 species
GCCCUUCCCCUGCUUGUGCCGUGUACC